AGCUUGCUUCUACCGGAUCAGUGGCGAACGGGUGAGUAACACGUGAGUAACCUGCCCCAGACUCUGGAAUAACCCCGGGAAACCGGAGCUAAUACCGGAUACGAGACGGAGAGGCAUCUCUACCGUCUGGAAAGUUUUUCGGUCUGGGAUGGACUCGCGGCCUAUCAGCUAGUUGGUGAGGUAAUGGCUCACCAAGGCGACGACGGGUAGCCGGCCUGAGAGGGCGACCGGCCACACUGGGACUGAGACACGGCCCAGACUCAUACGGGAGGCAGCAGUGGGGAAUAUUGCACAAUGGGCGAAAGCCUGAUGCAGCGACGCCGCGUGAGGGAUGACGGCCUUCGGGUUGUAAACCUCUUUCAGCAGGGAAGAAGCGAAAGUGACGGUACCUGCAGAAGAAGCACCGGCUAACUACGUGCCAGCAGCCGCGGUAAUACGUAGGGUGCGAGCGUUGUCCGGAAUUAUUGGGCGUAAAGAGCUUGUAGGUGGUUUGUCGCGUCUGCUGUGAAAAUCCGGGGCUCAACCCCGGACUUGCAGUGGGUACGGGCAGACUAGAGUGUGGUAGGGGAGACUGGAAUUCCUGGUGUAGCGGUGAAAUGCGCAGAUAUCAGGAGGAACACCGAUGGCGAAGGCAGGUCUCUGGGCCAUAA
rnacentral:rRNA from 1 species